UCGUGCUAGGUGGGAAGGUAGCGGUGUCCUGUAACUCGCAAUCCGCUAUAGCGAGGCUGAAUCCCUUCUUGAGGUUUCAGUACUGCAAGGUUUGCCCUAAGUAAGUGGUGAUGACAUUUGGGUUCUGCGCAACGGAAACCCAUGAACCCUGUCAGGUCCGGAAGGAAGCAGCAGUAAGUGGAUCCUUUCGUGUGCCGCAGAGGUGCCUGGAUUGAGCAAACUGCUUAGGUAGCACUUGUGGUUCUUUAAUCAAAGGAAGGUGCACGG
rnacentral:SRP_RNA from 1 species